AUGGGAAGCAGGUGGACAAGAACCCAUCCCAAGACAGGACCAUAUGUGAGCAAGCCCCUACACGCGCUCCAUCUGACUUUACUUACGGAACACAAAUUCAAAGAUAGAAUUAUUAAGAACUUUAAAACAAGCGCCUGUAGGACAUUACACUCCGAGCAAGGGCCCUUAGAAUCCCCCCGGAUGAUUGCACUGGUUGCCCACCCGGGAAGCCAGCCCUGCUCUCCGCUUCACCCCUUUGUAAGCCGUAAAAGCUUGGGAAUGUUACUUAACCUCUGUAAGCGUGACUUUCUCCAUCUACAAAGUCGUGAUGAUGAAGGUACCCAUGUCAAAGGGAUGAUGAAACAUUUCUGGAUUUGCCUGCUUGCUUUUCUACGGAGGGGCACCCGAGAGCAAAAAACGAGAGAGCCGAGUUUUAUCGGCCAGGCGGCCCGUGCUUAAAG
rnacentral:lncRNA from 12 species